rnacentral:rRNA from 1 species
GACGAACGCUUGCGGCGUGCUUAACACAUGCAAGUCGAACGGAAAGGCCCUGCUUUUGUGGGGUGCUCGAGUGGCGAACGGGUGAGUAACACGUGAGUAACCUGCCCUUGACUUUGGGAUAACUUCAGGAAACUGGGGCUAAUACCGGAUAGGAGCUCCUGCUGCAUGGUGGGGGUUGGAAAGUUUCGGCGGUUGGGGAUGGACUCGCGGCUUAUCAGCUUGUUGGUGGGGUAGUGGCUUACCAAGGCUUUGACGGGUAGCCGGCCUGAGAGGGUGACCGGCCACAUUGGGACUGAGAUACGGCCCAGACUCCUACGGGAGGCAGCAGUGGGGAAUAUUGCACAAUGGGCGGAAGCCUGAUGCAGCAACGCCGCGUGCGGGAUGACGGCCUUCGGGUUGUAAACCGCUUUCGCCUGUGACGAAGCGUGAGUGACGGUAAUGGGUAAAGAAGCACCGGCUAACUACGUGCCAGCAGCCGCGGUGAUACGUAGGGUGCGAGCGUUGUCCGGAUUUAUUGGGCGUAAAGGGCUCGUAGGUGGUUGAUCGCGUCGGAAGUGUAAUCUUGGGGCUUAACCCUGAGCGUGCUUUCGAUACGGGUUGACUUGAGGAAGGUAGGGGAGAAUGGAAUACCUGGUGGAGCGGUGGAAUGCGCAGAUACCAGGAGGAACACCAGUGGCGAAGGCGGUUCUCUGGGCCUUUCCUGACGCUGAGGGGCGAAAGCGUGGGGAGCGAACAGGCUUAGAUACCCUGGUAGUCCACGCUGUAAACGGUGGGUACUAGGUGUGGGGUCCAUUCCACGGGUUCCGUGCCGUAGCUAACGCUUUAAGUACCCCGCCUGGGGAGUACGGCCGCAAGGCUAAAACUCAAAGGAAUUGACGGGGCCCCGCACAAGCGGCGGAGCAUGCGGAUUAAUUCGAUGCAACGCGUAGAACCUUACCUGGGUUUGACAUGGAUCGGGAGUGCUCAGAGAUGGGUGUGCCUCUUUUGGGGUCGGUUCACAGGUGGUGCAUGGCUGUCGUCAGCUCGUGUCGUGAGAUGUUGGGUUAAGUCCCGCAACGAGCGCAACCCUUGUUCACUGUUGCCAGCACGUUAUGGUGGGGACUCAGUGGAGACCGCCGGGGUCAACUCGGAGGAAGGUGGGGAUGACGUCAAGUCAUCAUGCCCCUUAUGUCCAGGGCUUCACGCAUGCUACAAUGGCUGGUACAGAGAGUGGCGAGCCUGUGAGGGUGAGCGAAUCUCGGAAAGCCGGUCUCAGUUCGGAUUGGGGUCUGCAACUCGACCUCAUGAAGUCGGAGUCGCUAGUAAUCGCAGAUCAGCAACGCUGCGGUGAAUACGUUCCCGGG